rnacentral:ncRNA from 2 species
GGUCACGAGUGACAGCGAUGUAGGCCCCGGCCCGCUGUCCGGCAACCCUCCUUCCGUGGCGGGGUGCCCCGGGUGAUGACCAGGUCGCAGGCAACGAGGUCUGCGGCAAGCGCGGAUC